rnacentral:rRNA from 1 species
AUUGAACGCUGGCGGCAUGCCUUACACAUGCAAGUCGAACGGCAGCGCGGGAGCAAUCCUGGCGGCGAGUGGCGAGCGGGUGAGUAAUAUAUCGGAACGUGCCCAGUAGUGGGGGAUAGCCCGGCGAAAGCCGGAUUAAUACCGCAUACGACCCGAGGGUGAAAGGGGGGGAUCGCAAGACCUCUCGCUAUUGGAGCGGCCGAUAUCAGAUUAGGUAGUUGGUGGGGUAAAGGCCUACCAAGCCUGCGAUCUGUAGUUGGUCUGAGAGGACGACCAGCCACACUGGGACUGAGACACGGCCCAGACUCCUACGGGAGGCAGCAGUGGGGAAUUUUGGACAAUGGGCGCAAGCCUGAUCCAGCAAUGCCGCGUGCAGGAAGAAGGCCUUCGGGUUGUAAACUGCUUUUGUCAGGGAAGAAAUCCCCUAGGCUAAUACCUUGGGGGGAUGACGGUACCUGAAGAAUAAGCACCGGCUAACUACGUGCCAGCAGCCGCCGUAA